rnacentral:rRNA from 1 species
CACGUAGGGUGCGAGCGUUGUCCGGAAUUAUUGGGCGUAAAGAGCUCGUAGGCGGUGUGUCGCGUCGGCCGUGAAAACCUGCAGCUUAACUGUGGGCUUGCGGUCGAUACGGGCAUCACUGGAGUUCGGCAGGGGAGACUGGAAUUCCUGGUGUAGCGGUGAAAUGCGCAGAUAUCAGGAGGAACACCCGUGGCGAAGGCGGCUCUCUGGAACGCAACUGACGCUGAGACGCGAAAAGCGUGGGGAGCAAACAGG